AAGUAAGUAGUUUUGUAACGUCCGUGGACUCGAACGGACGAACGCUGGCGGCGUGCUUAACACAUGCAAGUGACGAUGAAGCCUAGCUUGCUAGGUGGAUUAGUGGCGAACGGUGAGUAAUACGUGAGUAACCUACUUUAACUCUGGGAUAAGCCUGGGAAACUGGGUCUAAUACCGGAUACGACCAAUCUCCGCAUGGGGUGUUGGUGGAAAGCGUUAUGUAGUGGUUAUAGAUGGGCUCACGGCCUAUCAGCUUGUUGGUGAGGUAACGGCUCACCAAGGCGACGACGGGUAGCCGGCCUGAGAGGGUGAUCGGCCACACUGGGACUGAGACACGGCCCAGACUCCUACGGGAGGCAGCAGUGGGGAAUAUUGCACAAUGGGCGCAAGCCUGAUGCAGCGACGCCGCGUGAGGGAUGACGGCCUUCGGGUUGUAAACCUCUGUUAGCAGGGAAGAAGAGAGAUUGACGGUACCUGCAGAGAAAGCGCCGGCUAACUACGUG
rnacentral:rRNA from 1 species